rnacentral:rRNA from 1 species
UACGGGGGGAGCAAGCGUUGUUCGGAUUUACUGGGCGUAAAGGGCGCGUAGGCGGUCGUGACAAGUCACUUGUGAAAUCUCCGGGCUUAACUCGGAACGGUCAAGUGAUACUGUCGGACUAGAGUACAGAAGGGGCAACUGGAAUUCUCGGUGUAGCGGUGAAAUGCGUAGGUAUCGAGAGGAACACCUGCGGCGAAGGCGGGUUGCUGGGCUGAUACUGACGCUGAGGCGCGAAAGCCAGGGGAGCGAACGGG